rnacentral:lncRNA from 10 species
UUAUGCCUGACCUAUGCUUCUUUGAGACAAAACACUAUGCUUACACCACACACACACCACAAAACAAAACAAAAAAAAAAACAGGUAAAAAGGGCACACACACACUUUUGCAGUUUACACCAAACUAAAAUCAAAACCAAAAUCAGAGUAUCCAGAAAUCUAAGCCAGGUCAAAACCAAAACUAAAGUAUCAUGCAGUCUAAGUCAGGUCAAAACCAGAACAAAAGUGCCAAUGCAGGCACACUGUGGGUGAUCAGGCCACUCUUCCAUUCAGAUGGGGUGGGGCAAGUUCCAAAGACUAAUCUUACCAAGUCAAGCCAAGUCAAAACCAGAACAAAAGUGCCAAUACAGGCACACUGUGGGUAAUCAGGCCACACUUCCACUCAGAUGGAGUGGGGCAAGUUCCAAAGACUAGUCUUACCAAGUUACAGAUGUCCAGACUCCAAAUGCCAGUUCCUUCUGGGUGUUCAGCCACUGUGUUAAUCCUCUGUGGGGACCUGCUACUCGCUGCUCUGGUACUGAGUAUAAAACAAUAAAACAAUAUGAGAGGGUCUCUCUCUUCCCUCACCAGAGGGGGCCAAAGUUUUAUGAGACAUCUCCUCAUCUGUGCACAGAUGGGUGGCGGACUCUGGAGUCCAGGCUGUUGCUUCCCAUUCUAGUGGUGAAUCUUCCAUAGUCUGGUAUUGUUGUCUCUAACCCAGACCUGAUCACCUGGCUACAGCAAGGAAAAGAAACUUUGACCAUGAAGAGACAGGUGAUGAUUGCCAAACACACAGUCUUUUCUUGUCAUUAGAUCUCAACUGACUCUUUAAAAAGGUAAGUUGAGUCUGAUUUUUAAAACUUUUUAAUGAACCUUUUUAUUGAAAUUAUGUCUCUUGAAUGGAAAGAUAAUUGUAUAUAUUUAAAUAGUUUUCUGAAAGAGAAAAACUUAGUUAUUUUAAUUGUUUUAUUUGAUUAUUGUAUCCUUGUGUGUCAUUUUCUCUGUCUUUUUGUGUUGUUUUGAUUUUUAUAUUGACAUGCUUUCAGUUUUCUCUUAUUGUUUUUUGUGUAUCCAUAUGGAUUUUUUUUAGUGGUAUCUUAGGGAAUUACCUAAAACCUCUAAAAGAUUCAACAAUAUAUUUUAAUGUAGUAAGAAAUUAGCUUCAGUUGCAUACAAAAAUUCUUAUUACAUCUGCCUUAAACUUUGUUACUGACUUUACUAAUUACAUUUUUUAUGUUGUAUAUUCAUGAACAGAUGCUUAUAAUUUCUAUACAUUUAUCUUUUAAAUUUUAAAGAAUAAUUAAAAAAGUUUUCUGUACCAUUAUGAUAAUGUUAAGUAAGAAAUUCUAUUUUUAUGUGUGUACAUAUCUUUCCCAGAAAUUUAUGUAUUUUCAUAUGAUUAUGUGUUGUUUUCUUGCAUUACGUUAUUUUCUGUAGAAGAAACUCCUUUCAGCGUUCUUGAUAUGUAGGACAUAUGCAGUGCCAAUAUAAUUCUCAAGAUUUGGUUAUUUUGGAAGAACUUCUUUCUAUUUGGUAGUACAAUUUUGCUCUUAUGGUAAUACUCCCAUUUGACAACUUAUUUUGAAAUUAUAAUUUUAAAAAUAUCACAGUUUCCUUCUGAUCUGCAAAAAUUUUUUUGAUAAAUUCACUGGUUAUCUGAUGAGACUAUGCUUAUAGAUUAUUAUUAUAUUUAUCUUGCAGCUUGCAAAAUUCUUAUCUGUGAUUUUUGAAAUUUUGCUUAUAUAUGUGUUUGUUAUAAAUAUAUGUUUGAGUGUAUCCUAGUUUGUUCAGCUUUUUCAUGUUUACCCCAUUUUUUCUUACUUUUAAGAAAUUUUUCAGUUUUUUUUACAUCCACUAUUUUCAUUUUCUGCUAUUUUAAUAUUUUUUGUGGUUAAUCUCAUUUUUCCGAUCUUCAGUAGUUGUCUGUGUUUCUAUAUAACUUCCUGGAUAUUAUUCAAUUUAUUUUAUUUAUUUAUUAUUCUUUUUUUUUUUUUUUUUCUGAGAUGGGGUCUCACCCUUUCACCCAAGCUGGAGUGCAGUUGUGUGAUCUCGGCUCACUGCAACCUCUGCCUCCUGGAUUCAUGCAAUUCUCCUGCCUCAGCCUCCUGAGGAACUGGGAUUACAGGCACCUGCCAGUAUGCCUGGCUAAUUUUUUGUGUUUUUAAAUGAGGUGGGUUUUCCCCAUGUUGGCUAGGCUGAUCUUGAAUUCCUGAUUUCAAAUGAACUGCCCAUCUCAGCCUCUCAAUGUGUUGGGAUUACAGGUGUGAGCCACCAUGCUUGGCCUAUUUUAUUUUAUUUUUGAGACAGAGUCUUGCUCUGUUGCCCAAGCUUUAGUGCAGUGGCACAUCUCCACUCACCGCAAACUUCCCUUCCUGGAUUCAAGCAAUUCUCCUGUGUCAGCAUCCCACGUAGCUAGGAUUACAGUCAGAUACCACCAGGCCCACUAAUGUUUGUAUUUUUAGUACAUACAGGGUUUCACCAUGUUGGCCAGGCUGGUCUCCAACUCCUGACCUGUGAUUCUACCACCUUGGCCUCCCAUUGUGUUGGGAUUACAGGAAUGAGCCUCCAAAUAUGGUCUGUUCAAUCUAUUUUGAAUUUUUAAAAUUACUUUAUACAUUUUUAAUGAUUGCUUUUGAAAAUUUUAUAAUUUUUUUGAUGGGGCAAUGUUGCCUUAAUAUUUUGUAUACAUUGUAAUCUUUGAUCGAUAUUUGAACAUUAACAAAAAGCCACCUGUUACAAUCUUUAUAAUAUAGCUCUGUCCUGGCAUAGUCUGAAAUCAAUUGUCUUGGCUAGAGAUUCUGGGAAUUUCUCAAACCUGUUUUUAGGAGGUGUCUUGUCUAAAAUUUUGUGUUUAUUGUUUAGUUAAAUCAGUUUAUUAAUAUUUCUUCUUAAUAAUCAGUAAUCACUUGCUACACCCAUUUCCUGUUUGGGGUACUGCAGUUUCUCUGCUUUUGUAACAUUUACCUUAAGCCUUGGCAGACUCAAACUGUCAUUCCAACAUAUAUCACCAUUUCUUUCAG